GGACCCUGUAACUGUGUUAUAAGGAAAAAAUUUCUACUGGUUAUAGCCACAGCAACAGAUCCAACCAUACAGCAAUGAUAAACAUUAAAACUUGUUUUGAUUUUACUUUUUUCAACGCCUCUUACAGACUUUGUUGUACUGGCAUUUGUGAAUUGUGUACCAUGUGGAAGGUGGACGAAGAGAGGAAUGGGACACGGAAUAGGGGUAUGCCAAUAGAAAAGGAGGGAGAUAAAAAGGAGGAGCAAGAAGGGAAGGAGGUGAGGUAAUGAAGAAGAGAGGAGUAAAAAAGAAAACAGGAGAGAGAGUAAAAAGAAGCACUAAAAGAAGGAGCAGAUCAAAGGGGAAACGCCUUGAAGAAUAAAGUAUAAUAACAAUACAAUACCAAGAAAGAAACAAGAACCAUUGUUCAACCAAGAUGACCCAAAUCAAACAAAGAAGGAAGGAAAUAAUAAAAGGAACAAAUAAAAAUAAAAAACUAAAAUAAAAUAAAAAUAAAAAACUCUGCACAAUUGUUAAAGCAUUAACCCAGAGCACCCACAAGACUCCCUCUACACUAGAACCACAAUCUGAUCGUAAGCAGCAGUAAAUUGUCUGCCCAAAGCCAUAAGGACUAUUGUUCCUGCUGAACAUAGGGCAAGGUUGCAAGCUGUGCUCCAGGCAUAAUCCACAGCAGGCCUCUGGAUCUUACUGCCUUAAUCUAUCUGAGGUGAAAUAUCAGGGAUGUCUUUGUGUCUUCCCUUCACAGACUCUCCUUG
rnacentral:lncRNA from 1 species